UUUGGUGGCGAUAGCGAAGAGGUCACACCCGUUCCCAUGCCGAACACGGAAGUUAAGCUCUUCAGCGCCGAUGGUAGUUGGGGGAUUCCCCCUGUGAGAGUAGGACGCCGCCAAGC
rnacentral:rRNA from 6 species